GACGCUUAACUGACUAUGCCACCCAGGUGCCCCUGGAAAAAUGAAUCUUAAGCUAGUUUGUUAUUGAUAGAUAUUCAUCGACUUCCAAGUUUUUGUUUCUAUAAAAAUGCUUUGGUUUUAAAGGCACAACUUCACUAUUUGGACUAGAGUUUUGCAUGGAUCUGUCAUGAGAAAGUAUGCACUAUGUCCAUAUUUACUAUGAACUCUUAUCACCUUUUAAAAACCCAGCUGGGAAGAUUGAAUAGCAACUCCUUCAGGGUACCUAGUUUAAUUUAGAGUCAAUUCAGUGUAAUUACAUUUAACUCUAUUCAGUUUAGAUGUAUUUUUUAACAUCUUCCGUGUCAGGCCACCAUGCUGAUUCCUGCUGGGAACCAAGAUGAGUAAGACGUAAUCCCUCCUUUCAAGGAGACCAAGACAGGAACAUAGAUAUUGGUAAUCAGCAUAUAGGCCAGAAGAAUCAUCGGAUCACAGACUAGGGAGAGGACAUAUCUAUCUGUUUGCUGUGACCAAAUAAUAAGAAAUGUUAGCCUUAUGUCACUAGUGUGUUGAAUAAGCAAGCCUCCUGAGACAGAGUCAUAAAUGAUGUACUGUUUUUGUCUCCUUGUUCCCUUUUAAGUUUACUCAGUAGAAGGAAGUUCUAAAUGAAAUUUUAGGCAGAGGAACUUGGGAGGCCUUAGGUGGGCUUUCUUAGAAGAAAUGUGGAAACUAAGACCUGGUGAUUGAGUAAAAGUUAGCCAAAUUGAGGGGUGUGGGCUCUGGGGCAGGAGGAGGGAAGAGAAGAGUGUUCCUGAUGUAGAGUAAAGAUGAGGAGGUGAGAAAUAGCCUGAUGCCUUAGAGGGGUUCAAAGAUCAAUAUAGUUAUGUGGGAGGGAAGGAGAGGUGUGCUGUGGAGGGCUUUUAUAGUGGGACAGAUUUUCUCUGAAUACCCCAGGUUUUAGCCUACAUUCAUUCGUACAAAGUGGGCAGUAAAUAAAUAUUUUUGAAAAUAAAGUCUGAAAAUCAUAUAAGUUUUUGGUUCCUUAACACAAUUUCCCUUCUCAUAAUUCAGAACCACCAUGCAUCAACUUCCCACUUCUUCUCACUGGAAAAUUGGAAGACUAUCUCCAAAUGGUUUUUGGACCUUAAGGCAGAGGGAGAAAGUUUGCAUCCUUCAAGCAGAAGCUCCCAUGGAAUUUGUUGGUAAAGCAAGUUGUCUCAGGAAGUAAUGACUGAAGAUACAAUGCCUAGAAGUGUCACAGGCAACUUGCAACCUUGAGGAUAAAAUUCACAUGCUGAGCAUGAAGGAGCAUAAUGACAGAAGUUUGGAUUCUUUCUCAACGCCAUUGAAUGAAGAGAAAGCUGACAGUUGGAUGAAGAAAGGCCUUGUGGAGGAAGUGUCAUUAGAGCUGACCUUCAGGAGCAAGUUCAGUGUUACUGCAAGCAAUCCUGGGGAAGUUAUUACAGAAAGUGCAGAGGAGAUCACUGGAUCAGAGGUGAAAAGAACAUGCGAGUGACCCUGAGGAAGCCAGCAACUAAGCUGCCCCAGAAGUCAGGAGUCUUUCAGUCUUUUCCGUGCUUAGAGCCUCAUCAACCAAGACAGG